rnacentral:lncRNA from 1 species
AUUUAGAUGAAGAAACUUUGCAAUAUAAUGCUAAUGAGAACAAAGCGGAAAUUUGUGUUGAAAAAAAAGAAACAGAAGAAAUUGUUGAAGUUGAUGAGCCUCCUGCUGUCAAGGAAUUAAAACAACUUAUUGAAUCAUCCUUGGAUGAACACAUUCGAAAG